rnacentral:rRNA from 1 species
GAUGAACGCUGGCGGCGUGCCUAAUACAUGCAAGUCGAGCGAACAGAUGAGGAGCUUGCUCCUCUGACGUUAGCGGCGGACGGGUGAGUAACACGUGGAUAACCUACCUAUAAGACUGGGAUAACUUCGGGAAACCGGAGCUACUACCGGAUAAUAUAUUGAACCGCAUGGUUCAAUAGUGAAAGACGGUUUUGCUGUCACUUAUAGAUGGUUCCGCGCCGCAUUAGCUAGUUGGUAAGGUAACGGCCUACCAAGGCAACGAUGCGUAGCCGACCUGAGAGGGUGAUCAGCCACACUGGAACUGAGACACGGUCCAGACUCCUACGGGAGGCAGCAGUAGGGAAUCUUCCGCAAUGGGCGAAAGCCUGACGGAGCAAUGCCGCGUGAGUGAUGAAGGUCUUCGGAUCGUAAAACUCUGUUAUUAGGGAAGAACAAAUGUGUAAGUAACUAUGCACGUCUUGACGGUACCUAAUCAGAAAGCCACGGCUAACUACGUG